ACAUAAUGGAUAAUUUACUUAAAAAGCAAACCCCUAUAUUUUGAAACUUAAUUUUAGAAAUAGAAAAGAUUACUGGCAGCCAAACAAAGUAUUUACUCAGGUGCCUCGUAAACAUGAUUUGGCAUCCAAAACCUGGAUAUGACUUAGAGAGGAGCUCACACCUUUGAACAAACUGUGCUUUUCUAAUCCUGCACCUUUAUCUGAGCCAAAGCCCCAGGUCAGGGCUAGGAAAGUCAAGAAAUAGGAAGGAAAUCGGUCAGUUUUCUAUCAUCAUUGAAACCAGAGAGCAUAUGACAGCUGUAAUGUGAUAUGGAAGUAUCUGUGAUUUUUCCUGGUGACAGAAUCAAAGGUUGGGCUUGAAAGUGUAACAAGAGGUUAAAAUAGAAGUUCUAGCUGAAGCACAAAGAAAGUAGAAACAACACAUCAAAGUGAGGGAUUUAUAAAGCAGGAGACUGAAAACCAGCUGGUGACUCUUGAAUUCCUCACCCUUAUUGAGAGUAUAAAAGGCUUAUAGCCCUCACCCUUUCACCUCAAAUCAAGAGGGAAGGGUUUUAGAAACACAACUUGGAGAGCUUAAUAUGUAUCCCUGAAGUUUGAGGAAAGGGGACGUAGUGUACUGACUUCUGCCUGGAAAGUCUAACAGGUGGGAGAUUAAUUGACUGCAAUGAAGGAGAAAGCCAAUGACAGGUUGCUUCUUGACUGGAAUUGUUCAGCACUCCAGAGGCUGUCAGGGAAAGGAUGUGAGCAUGCUGCCUGGAAUCUGAUGUGGCUCAGCUGUAGGACAAAGAUAGUGUGUUUUCUUAAGUUCUGACCAAAUGAACCACCUUAAGAGACAAAGAUCACUCAGCAAGGAAAGCUGAAGAUGCUAUGAGAUGCCAGAGGUUGGGGAAGGAGCAAACAACCAGCUGGAAUGGAUAUGCCUUUUCUCAAAGAAAAUUGCAAGUGGAAGAAUUCCAGCCAUGGGGUCUCCAAAGCAUCCGUGAAACUGUUCCACAAGACAAGGAUGGAUGACUGAAUGCCAAACCCAGAGAGCAGUGAAGCUAAAUCAACUCAAUCAUUUCAGUGAAGAAAGAAAUCUCCUGUCCUUUCCUGUCCCUGAACUCCAUGAUGAAGGGCCAUGUGCUGUAGGUAGCAAAACAGGGGAGAAAGAAUUUCAGUUUUCCUUUUCCCUUGAAAUUUUCUAGCUAAAUCAGUCCGAAAUGUGGAAGGAAAAAGCAUGAAGUUUUUUAUUUUUAUUUUUUGAGACUGAGUCUUGCUCUGUUGCCCAGGCUGGAGUGCAGUGGUGUGGUCUUGGCUCACUGCAACCUCCUCUUCUCGAGUUCAAAUGAUUCUCCUGCCUCUGCCUCCCGAGUAGCUGGAAUUACAGCCGUGCACCACCAUGCCCAGCUAAUUUUUAUAUUUUUAGUAGAAACAGGUUUCACCAUGUUGGCCAGGCUGGUAAUGAACUCCUGACUUCAGGUGUCUGCCAGCCUUGGCCUCCCAAAGUGCUGGAAUUACAGGCAUGAGCCACCACACCUGGCCACAUGAAAGCAUGAAAUUUAAUGCAGAUAGAUUUACCUAUCAUAUAAAAAUGGAAAACCGAAUUACUAAGUGGAACUGAUAUUUUGUGAUCCAGGAAUGACCAUGUCUGAACUUUCAUUUGAGGGGAAAAAGGAUAAUUAACACCAUUGAACAAAUUUAAAGGGAGAAUGGAAGACAAAGUAAAGUUGUUUUAUGUUUACAUACAGCUGUGCUAUUAAGAAAAGCUACCGAUUUUUAUUUUUUGUCUCGUACAAAUUUUUCUCAUUAAAGUUAUACAACCAACAAAAAUAGAUUUGUAUCUUCUUUUCUACUAUGAGUAUUGAUUAUUUUUAUCUCAUUGCAUUUGCUUGGACCUUCUCAAGAAUAUGGCAAAUAAUAAUAGUUAUACUAGGCAUCCUUGUCAAGUUCUGAUUUUAAUUGAAGAGGUUUUAGUGUUUCACCACUAGGAAUACUAUGUGCUUUUGGUUUCAAACUAGGCUUUAUUAAAUUUUAGUAUUUUAUUCCAGUUUUUAGUUUCUGUUUUCUAAUUUUCUUAUAAACAAUAAAACAAUUAUGUCUGUUGAAUUUGAUUGGAUGUCUUAUUUGUAACUAUCUGAUGACAUUUUAGUAUUGAUUAAUCAAAAAAUAUUUUCCUUUAGUUUAUUUUUUGAUUUUGCAUUAUGUUGAUAAAUUUCCUAGUAUUGAAUAACCUUGGUAUUCUUAGAACAUUCCUAACUUAGUAAUAAUAUAUAUUUUGGUACAUUGUUUGAUUAUAUUUGCUAAUAUUUACCUUUUUCUCCCCCCUACAGGCAUUUAGUGAAAUUGGUCCAUAGUUUUAUUUUCUUCUGCUAAUGCUAUGCUGAGUUAAUAAAAUGAAUUGAGAAGCACUCACCUUUUUCUGUGGUCUGGAAUAAGUAACACUGAAAUAAUCUGUUCUUAAUACAUACGAUGAAAUACUUACAAAUGUGCAUUAUUGUGGUGACUUUUAAAAUAGUACAUGUUUAAUUACCUUUGAAGAUGCUAACGUAGCAAUUAAAAAUGUUUUUUCAUUUAUGAGUCAAUUUGAAUAAUUAUGGUUUUCUAGAAUAACAUUCAUUUUCUCCAAGUUUCAAAGUUUGUUUGCAAUGGACAUGCAUAUUUUAUUCUCUAAGAAAAAAAUUUCUCAUUUAUCUAUGAUUAUGCCACAUUCUCAUUUCUAAU
rnacentral:lncRNA from 1 species